GUAGAUCAACGCUGGCGGCGUGCCUAACACAUGCAAGUCGAACGAGAAAGGGACUUCGGUCCUGAGUAAAGUGGCGCACGGGUGAGUAACACGUGACUAACCUACCCUUGAGUGGGGAAUAACUAGGAGAAAUCUUAGCUAAUACCGCAUAAUACCUACGGGUCAAAGGAGCAAUUCGCUUAAGGAGGGGGUCGCGGCAGAUUAGUUAGUUGGCGGGGUAAUGGCCCACCAAGACAGUGAUCUGUAUCCGGCCUGAGAGGGCGCACGGACACACUGGAACUGAAACACGGUCCAGACUCCUACGGGAGGCAGCAGUGGGGAAUUUUGCGCAAUGGGGGAAACCCUGACGCAGCAACGCCGCGUGGAGGAUGAAGUCUCUUGGGACGUAAACUCCUUUCGAUCGGGACGAUAAUGACGGUACCGAGAGAAGAAGCCCCGGCUAACUUCGUGCCAGCAGCCGCGGUAAUACGAGGGGGGCGAGCGUUGUUCGGAAUUAUUGGGCGUAAAGGGUGCGUAGGCGGUUCGGUAAGUCUUGUGUGAAAUCUUCAGGCUCAACUUGAAGUCUGCACGAGAAACUGCCGGGCUUGAGUAUGGGAGAGGUGAGUGGAAUUUCCGGUGUAGCGGUGAAAUGCGUAGAUAUCGGAAGGAACACCUGUGGCGAAAGCGGCUCACUGGACCAUAACUGACGCUGAGGCACGAAAGCUAGGGGAGCAAACAGGAUUAGAUACCCUGGUAGUCCUAGCCCUAAACGAUGAUCGCUUGGUGUGGCGGGUACCCAAUCCCGUCGUGCCGAAGCUAACGCGUAAGCGAUCCGCCUGG
rnacentral:rRNA from 1 species